UACGGGGGAGCAAGCGUUGUUCGGAUUUACUGGGCGUAAAGGGCGCGUAGGCGGCGCAACAAGUCACUUGUGAAAUCUCCGGGCUUAACCCGGAGCGGCCAAGUGAUACUGUCGUGCUAGAGUGCGGAAGGGGCUACUGGAAUUCUCGGUGUAGCGGUGGAAAUGCGUAGAUAUCGAGAGGAACACCUGCGGCGAAGGCGGGUAGCUGGGCCGACACGUGACGCUGAGGCGCGAAAGCCAGGGAGCGAACGGG
rnacentral:rRNA from 1 species